UCGCAAAGCUCAGUUGGUAGAGAUUGAGACUCUUAAUCUCACGGUCCUGGGUUCGAAUCCCACAUGGGGCAAAA